CCUACGGGUGGCAGCAGUGGGGAAUAUUGCACAAUGGGGGAAACCCUGAUGCAGCGACGCCGCGUGAGUGAAGAAGUAAUUCGUUAUGUAAAGCUCUAUCAGCAGGGAAGAAAAUGACGGUACCUGAGUAAGAAGCCCCGGCUAACUACGCGCCAGCAGCCGCGGUAAUACGUAGGGGGCAAGCGUUAUCCGGAUUUACUGGGUGUAAAGGGAGCGUAGACGGCAGUGCAAGUCUGGAGUGAAAGGCGGGGGCUCAACCCCCGGACUGCACUGGAAACUGGACGGCUGGAGUGCAGGAGAGGUAAGUGGAAUUCGUGGUGUAGCGGUGAAAUGCGUAGAUAUUACGAAGAACACCGAUGGCGAAGGCAGGUUCCUGGACAUUAACUGACGCUGAGGCACGAAGGCCAGGGUAGCGAAAGGGAUUAGAUACCCCGGUAGUC
rnacentral:rRNA from 1 species